CUACUAACUCAUGAACAAAAUACACAGCUGUAACUAUGAAAAUGUAAACAACAAAGAUCGGGCCCCGGUUCCGGACCCAGCGUACCCGCCCUACCAUGAGACGAUCACCUCCACUCGUCUCCCACAUUUUGGCCACUAGAUGGCCUAUAUUAGCCCGUGUCGGCCAUAAUGCCCACUCUCCCCCAGCAAUAUUAUUUUAGCCGGACAUGAUUUCUUUCAAUAGCUGUUUAGGAUCUCAUGCAAGCGGAUAAUUCAUUAACUUCACAGAAUUAAUCUUUUUUAUUUUUUUACAACACUGAAUGGAACAGGCGACGAAACACUACAGGGAUAUUGCUAGUCGCCGCAAAAGAAACGCGCAAUGAGGCACUUUAGAGGCAAUCGUUGCCCCGAUUUAGGAACAAUGGCCCGCACAAUUACUUAAAACUGGAGCUCUCUGGGGGUGGUAAGGGGCGAUAUAAAUGCGUAAAUUCAAAUUAGGCGCAGAUGCAUCACCGUUGGAGUUUUCCUCACCGUUCGCACUCUAAAGUGAAGCUCGGCGUAAGUGCCUAUGGAGUGCAAUUAGGAGUCUUCAUCUGACUCUGCCAGGGGCUCGAACGAGGGUGGGCAAAACAAUGGAACGGACUCACUCGGUGGAUGUGGGCGGGGUCUCGCCUGUGGCCGCUUCUUCGUUGUUGGAGCCCGGUCGUUGGUGGCUCGUCUCGUCGCCUUCACGUUUGCGCCGACGCUUGCUGGCGGCGUCGCGGAUAUGGCUGGUUUGCGCCGCUGCACUGAAUCCUGGCCUUGAAUAUUUCGUGGGCCUCUCUGGUGCGCGAGCUGGUCUCCUUGGUGCCGGAGCCGUUAAUUUUUGGCUUAUUUGGUUCGUCUCUCGUCGCACUUAAAUUUUUAAGUCUCUUUUAAUUUUUUUAUUAUAUUUUCUUUGUGAUUCGAGCGGUUUGAUUUAUAUAAAUUUAUUACAUGGCAAAGAACACAAAAACAAAACUUUUAUUCGUCUGUUAAGCCAUUGGUAUUAUGUGCCGGCUUAAUUUUUCAGAAGGGAAAAAAUUUUACUCUGUCAAGCAGAAAUGCAAUGUCCAACUUUUUUUGCUCACUUCGAGCUGGCACGCCCGCCGUUAACCGCUGAACAAAUCGAACUCCUCGACAUUUUUGGCAGCCACACCAUCGGUACCGAAUUUCGGCACACGCAUACAUUUGCGAGGCGGGCACCGUUGCUGCUCAUCUGCACAGCUGCAUUUUUUUUGGGUCAACGGCCCAAAUGAAGGCCAAGGGCAUAUCCAAGGGCAUGCGAUCCACUCUCCUCGUAUUCCCUUUAAGAGCGAAACGGGCGGCCAAUAGCAAUCGUCGCUUUUGGCGCCGUGGAUCGCAUGUCUGGCGUUGCCACCCUUCAAAAUUUUGGGCUCCGCCGUGGGCCCAGCUUCACCCCGCAUACUCCGACCAUAUGCCAAAAAGAUAUCGGCGUGGCCGA